UCGAGUCCAUCAAUUCUUGAUUUUAACAUCACUACUCCGACCUGAAGCAGCAAAAUUGGAUGUUCAUGGGAUUAAAAUAUCCUAAAAAUAAGUAAACAUAAGCAAAUUCCAAAACUGGAUACUAGUCUUCAAAAUCUCUAUUGCUGCAAUAAUUGCUUAAGCCAACCUGACAGUAACUAACUUAAAUUUUGUAACCCCUGCUCUUUCUUCUUUAUUUGUUAAUCCACUCUAUUAGUCUAACUAAUCACUUCACAAUACAAAAAAUAACACAUUAAAUUAUUUAGUAAACUAAUUACAAUUAAACCAAAUAAACCAAAAUAUCUAAGGCAUUUAUGGGAGAUUGGGCAGAGAAGCAGAUUAAGACUCUUAAGUAGAAGAAAACAAUUAAAGUAAAAACAAAUGAAGAAUAACAAAAGUAUCAAACAGACUCACCAAAACUUGAGCGAACGCCAUAUAAACUGGAAUGAAAUGGGAAGAUUGACAUUUAUAUUAACAAAUUUGGCUUGAAUAUUACAGUUGCACUCCCAAGGUGAACGAAGCGUAGGAGUCUGACCAAUGACCGGAGCUCGGAAUCUCGUCGACGAUCUCAAACUCGACUGAAGUUUUGGUUCUGUUUCACGGUGGAAUUAGCAACAAUCUGAGCUACUGUUUUGGGGUUAAAGAGUGAUGACAACUAUGAUUUUAGUAAUUGAUUUUGCGGGUUUAAAAAGAGCUGUUUCUCGGCUGAUUUUGCCGGGUUUGAGGGGUUAUUUCACGGUCAAUUUUCAGCUUAUUCCAGGCAAUUUUUGGGGUUGUUCUGUGCUGUUUUUCGCUGGAAGCUUCGUGAAGAAGAUGAAGUUUUGGAGGGGUCAGGGGGUUGUGUUCUUCUCAGCGGCGAAUUUCAAUGUAUUUUUUAGGUGUA
rnacentral:lncRNA from 1 species